GAACGAGACCUUCGGGUCUAGUGGCGCACGGGUGCGUAACGCGUGGGAAUCUGCCCUUGGGUUCGGAAUAACAGUUAGAAAUGACUGCUAAUACCGGAUGAUGACGUAAGUCCAAAGAUUUAUCGCCCAAGGAUGAGCCCGCGUAGGAUUAGCUUGUUGGUGAGGUAAAAGCUCACCAAGGCGACGAUCCUUAGCUGGUAUGAGAGGAUGAUCAGCCACACUGGGACUGAGACACGGCCCAGACUCCUACGGGAGGCAGCAGUGGGGAAUAUUGGACAAUGGGCGAAAGCCUGAUCCAGCAAUGCCGCGUGAGUGAUGAAGGCCUUAGGGUUGUAAAGCUAUUUUACCCGGGAUGAUAAUGACAGUACCGGGAGAAUAAGCUCCGGCUAACUCCGUG
rnacentral:rRNA from 1 species